ACCAUAUCGCGUUAAAACACCGGUUCCCGUACGAUCACAGAAGUUAAACAACAUUGACCCUCUUCAGUACCAAGAUGGGUGACCGCUUGGCAAUAUCAGAUGCUGUAAG